CAACGGGGGUAUAGCCUUAGUAACGGCGAGUGAAGCGGCAAAAGCUCAAAUUUUGAAAUCUGGCACCUUCGGUGUCCGAGUUGUAAUUUGAAGAAGGUAACUUUGGAGUUGGCUCUUGUCUAUGUUCCUUGGAACAGGACGUCACAGAGGGUGAGAAUCCCGUGCGAUGAGAUGCCCAAUUCUAUGUAAAGUGCUUUCGAAGAGUCGAGUUGUUUGGGAAUGCAGCUCUAAGUGGGUGGUAAAUUCCAUCUAAAGCUAAAUAUUGGCGAGAGACCGAUAGCGAACAAGUACAGUGAUGGAAAGAUGAAAAGAACUUUGAAAAGAGAGUGAAAAAGUACGUGAAAUUGUUGAAAGGGAAGGGCUUGAGAUCAGACUUGGUAUUUUGCGAUCCUUUCCUUCUUGGUUGGGUUCCUCGCAGCUUACUGGGCCAGCAUCGGUUUGGAUGGUAGGAUAAUGACUAAGGAAUGUGGCUCUACUUCGGUGGAGUGUUAUAGCCUUGGUUGAUACUGCCUGUCUAGACCGAGGACUGCGUCUUUUGACUAGGAUGUUGGCAUAAUGAUCUUUAUCCACCCCUCCUAAGAGGGGGAACAAAAAAAAAACCAACCUUAAGGGGGGGGGAUUAUGGGGGGGAGAGAAGGGGGGAGGUACAGGAGGGGGUGGGGGGGGGGAGGGCGGGGGGGAGAGGAAAAGAGGGG
rnacentral:rRNA from 1 species